GAUUGCGAAGGCAGCUUGCUGGACUGNAACUGACGCUGAGGCACGAAAGCGUGGGGAUCAAACAGGAUUAGAUACCCUGGUAGUCCACGCCGUAAACGAUGAAUGCUAGCUGUUAGCGAUAUACUGUNAGCGGCACAGAGAAAUNNUUAAGCNUUCCACCUGGGGAGUACGCCGGCAACGGUGAAACUCAAAGGAAUUGACGGGGGCCCGCACAAGCGGAGGAACAUGUGGUUUAAUUCGAUGAUACGCGAGGAACCUUACCUGGGCUUAAAUUGCAGUGGAAUAACGUGGAAACAUGUUAGCCUUCGGGCCGCUGUGAAGGUGCUGCAUGGUUGUCGUCAGCUCGUGCCGUGAGGUGUCGGCUUAAGUGCCAUAACGAGCGCAACCCUCAUCGAUAGUUACUAACAGGUUAAGCUGAGGACUCUAUCGAGACUGCCGACGUAAGUCGUGAGGAAGGUGGGGAUGACGUCAAAUCAGCACGGCCCUUACGUCCAGGGCUACACACGUGUUACAAUGGGGGGUACAAAGGGCAGCUACCUGGCGACAGGAUGCUAAUCUCUAAAACCUCUCUCAGUUCGGAUUGGAGUCUGCAACCCGACUCCAUGAAGCUGGAUUCGCUAGUAAUCGCGCAUCAGCCACGGCGCGGUGAAUACGUUCCCGGGCCUUGUACACACCGCCCGUCAAGCCAUGGGAGCCGGGGGGACCUGAAGUAUGCAACCGUAAGGAGCGUCCUAGGGUAAAACUGGUGACUGGGGCU
rnacentral:rRNA from 1 species